CAGGUCUUGACAUCUAGUGCAAUCUGUAGAGAUACGGAGUACCCUUCGGGGACGCUAAGACAGGUGGUGCAUGGCUGUCGUCAGCUCGUGUCGUGAGAUGUUGGGUUAAGUCCCGCAACGAGCGCAACCCUUGUUAUUAGUUGCCAGCAUUAAGUUGGGCACUCUAAUGAGACUGCCGGUGACAAACCGGAGGAAGGUGGGGAUGACGUCAAGUCAUCAUGCCCCUUAUGACCUGGGCUACACACGUGCUACAAUGGGCAGUACAACGAGAAGCAAGCCUGCGAAGGCAAGCGAAUCUCUGAAAGCUGUUCUCAGUUCGGACUGCAGUCUGCAACUCGACUGCACGAAGCUGGAAUCGCUAGUAAUCGCGGAUCAGCACGCCGCGGUGAAUACGUUCCCGGGCCUUGUACACACCGCCCGUCACACCAUGGGAGUCAGCAAUGCCCAUUGCCGGUG
rnacentral:rRNA from 1 species